rnacentral:lncRNA from 1 species
CUAAGAACUUAUAAGAGUUAAGAAAAAAAAUUAUCUUCAAACAUCAUUACCUCUGGAAAGCUCUUCCUGACCCACAAACUAGGUUGGGUUCAUGUGCUACAAGCUCUCACAGGACCAUGUUUCCUUCAUUAGGGCAUUUAUAUCAGUGUGGAAAUGGAUGUGGACGCGGUGCUGCUGCCUGAGAUUAGCAGGAAGCAAUUCUUUUCCCAUUUGGAGAGACCCCGAUAUUACCUAUAUUGCCUUGAUCUGCUGUCUGAAGGUGGGUUUCUUUGAUUGUUUGAAGAGUUCUGGGCACUAGAGGUGCUUACUUUGUGACGGGAGCAAAUAACAAGGUGUUGCCCAUGACAUGGUCAAGCCUCUUCUUCAAUUAGCCACCUAUCUUGGGCAUGUUUUCAUAGAGAUAUAUCUCAUCCCUUUUAAUAACUGCAGAAUCUUGGACAUUUAGAGGUCUCCAAAUAUUGGUUGUCAUUUAUGGUGUAUCGUGUUUUUGUUAUUAUAAUAACGUUGCAAUAAAUACCCUAGCAACCUAUUUUUGCUUACAAGUAGAGUAUUUUCGAAGAACAAAUUCCUUCAUGUGAAACUGACGGGUCAAAAUAUAAAAGGAUUAAAGUUUCAAUAGUUAGUUAAUUGCCUUACAAUGGAAUUACAACAAUUUAUACUUCCACCAGUAAUUCAUGAACUCUGCCUUACCACAUAAUAUUUCUAAUCUUUCCCAAUCUGAUAUGGAGAAACAUGUUUUAUUAUUCUAUUUUUUUUUCACUAAAAGAGAGACUUUGAACACCCCUCCAUAUGUUUCAAAAACACUUGUAGACCAGGUGUGGUGGCUCACUCCUGUAAUUCCAGCACUUUGGGAAGUGAGAAGAUUGCUUGAGCCCAGGAGUUCGAGACCAACUUAGGCAACAAAUCUAGACAAGGGAGACCUUGUCUCUACGAAAAAAUGAAAACAUUAACUGGGCAUGGUGGUGUGUGCUGUGGUGCUAGCUGCUCAGGAGGCUGAAGAUGGGAGGACUGCUUGAGCCUGGGAAGUUGAGGCUGCAGUGAGCUGUGUGAUGGCACCACUGCACUCCAGCCUGGGCAACAGAGUGAGACCCUGUCUCAAAACAAAACAAAACAAUACAAAACAAAACUUUUUUUUUUCAGUGAAUGUUUCUUUAUAGAUUUCAACUUCUAAAAAUUGUUGGCACUUUUUUUGAUUGACUGAAGAGCUCAUUAUAUAUUAAGCAAUGUAGACUUUUUUUUUUUUUUUUUGAGACAGGGUCUCGCUCCGUCGCCCAGGCUGGAGUGCAUUGGUGCGAUCUGGGCUCACUGCAACCUCUGUCUCCCAGGUUCAAGCAAUUCUCCCCGCUCAGCCUCCUGAGUACCUGGGAUUGCAGGCACCUACCAUCAUGCCCGGCUAAUUUUUGUAUUUUUGUAGAGAUAGGGUUUUACCAUGUUGUUCAGGCUGGUCUUGAACUCCUGAUCUCAGAUGAUCUACCCGCCACGGCUUCCCAAAGUGCUGGGAUUACAGGUGUGAGCCGCCGCGCUUGGCCCAAUUUAGACUUUUUAAACCAACUUUUGAAGGUUGGUUUUUAAAAAAUAAAUGACUGGAUCAUGUUCUAACUACUCAUAGUCUCAGCCAAACACAAUUGCGGAAGGCCUAGCCAAAGGCUCUUUGCUCAGUGAAAGUCCCAUGAAUCUCAGGCACAGAGGAUAGUCUGGAAAGACCUAACCUGCACAUGCAAAUCUAUUAAGAAAGAUGAAGUCUUAGGCUUAUAUGGAGCUAAAUAAUUGCAUGUUUAAUGCAAUGCCAGGGUACAGGUAAUGGUGAUUGGAGUUGGAGGGGUGAUGUGUGUGGUGGGUGAGGAAGUCAGGGCUGAGUCCUAGGUGAGAUCUAUAAGAGUGAUGUUUAUUUAUGCAUCUGAGGGCUGGGACUCUCAUGACAGGAUUUAUUUUCAUUCUCUUUCAAGGAGAGCCAUGCUGCCUUGCUGCUUCUUGCUCGUGUACACAGAGCACUUGGUGUCUUGCGAAUCCCCUUUGACGCCGGUGCCUUUCCAGGCUUUGUUGGGCCAGGAGAUGGUUUUGCAGCAGCAGAAGACUAUGAACUGGGCUUUGGGAGAUAGGAUCUCUGGUUGUAUUCUGGCUAUCCACACUCUGAAAGAGGACCGUGACAGAGAAUUUGAGUAUCCUACCAAUAUACCUACAAAAGGAUGAAAGAAGAUUUGGAGUCAAGGGAAAACAAGGGCAAUAAAAUAGAAGCUUACCACCUGCUCUCAUACAGUUGCUAGAAGAGGACUGCAUAUUUGGUUCUAAGUUUCUGGAAGAUAAAGCCAAAAUAGAAACACAACUCAUUAUAAAAUUUUGGUGUAUCCAUAAAAUAAAAACAAAUGACCUGUUUGAGAAAACUCUUUCUGAGUUUGAGCUCUAAAAGGAACUUCUCUAUGGAAUCCUUAGAAUAUGAGAAGGCUGUGAUAUAGGGGAGAAACCCCUUGACAUUCCUAUAUUGGGUUUAGGUCUAAUUUCACUCAGUAGUUUUUAAAUGUUACUCCUUGUAGACAGAUGAUGAGACGCCAAAGUACAGCUGAGUGAAAGCGGUUCCUUUGAAAACUAAAGGCUGUAAAAACAAGGCUGUGGAUCAUGUUGUUUCAGUUCUUUAUAGAUUUUUUAAACUGAAUUUUGCAUCUGUGUACAUGAAGAAUAAAUUGUAGAAUAUCUAAGGAAAUGGAUGGGCUGCUUAUCUUUUAGAACCUCCAUAAAUUAUUUAUUGUAAGUAUGUUUGAUAAGGAUUGUACAGCUGAGAGUUCAAGGUUGCAUUUUUUUCCCCAGCAAGAACCAAAAGUGCAGAUAACAUGCAGCCAAUUAAGGACAAAUCUGUAUGGUUUGUCAAUCAAUCUGUCAGGAUGUCCCUGAAUUGUAGCACUUAUCACUUGGUAUUAUAGACAUCUGUGUCCCUGGCAUAACUGCAUCCUCUUCAAGGGCAGGAAUUGCUUCUUUUCCAUUUUUGCACUCUAGCAUCCAGCAUUAUGUUUGAGACCUAGCAUCUAUAUGAGAGACUUUGUUGAACGGAAUCAAUUGAAAGGCUUCCCAUUAUCAUGCAGUACUACUUGACAAAGAUCAGAACCCUGAGCAAUCAAGGGCAGGAAACAUAGGCUAGCUGAGCUUUGAAGGAAGUGAAAAGAAAAAGAGGCAGCAAAGAUGGGAACAUGGAGGACAGUCUGAGAAAACAAGCUCAGGGUUGAAGGGGGUGUUCCAGUGAAGGGGUGAUGAGUGGGACCUCACACAUGGAGCAGAUAACAUUGGUGCAUCAGUUGAUUUAAAUGAGCAGAAUGGAAAGUGUCUAAAAGAGAGAUGUGGAAAUGAGUAGAAACAUCCCUUUCCUGUUGGGCCAGCUAUUGUCUAUGGUUAGUCCUUUUCCCAUCCUUAUUUCCUCUCCUCUGAAUUGCAAGUUGCUGGAAACAUGAGAAGUGCAUUCCUUGCUCCCUUGGUUACUGGGCUUCAGUUAGCAUUUGCCAAUGAGGGUGAGCACUCAUGGGAGACUGGAAAGUGGUAGAAAGGGAAAGCCAUUCAGCUGGCUGUGACAGUGGCAGCAGCGGGCAGUACCGUGGGCUCCAACAGCAUUGGUGGUGGCUCCAGCAUCAUCACUGGGAGCUUGGGCUCCUGGGUUCCUGCUCAGCAGCUAUGGUCAGUACCUUCUGAGAUGGCCUCCUCUGAUCCUCACCUCUUGGUAUUCAUGGCCUUGUGAAAUCCCCUUUGCUUGAGUAACUUGCUGCCAACCAAUAGAAUAUGGCAAUGUUGAGGGUUGCUACCUUUCUGACUAGGUUGCAAAUGAUUGUGACUUCUGUCUUGCUGGCAGGCUCUCUCUAUUUGCCUUUUGGUUUGUGUGCUCUGAGGAUGCAAACUGCCAUGUUCGUGAGACCUGCAUGGCGAGGAAUUGAGGGCAGACUCUGUCCAACAGCCAGUGAGAAACUGAGGUCCAACAGCCUACACGGAGCUGAAUCUUACCAAUAACUACAUGAACUUGAAAGUGUAUCCUUCCCUUCAGAUGAGUGUAGCCUGAGUGACACCUUAACUGAAGCCUAUGAGAGGCCCUGAAGCAGAGGAAGGACCCAGCUAGCUCACACCUAGAUUUCUGAUGCAUAGAAACUGUGAGAUAGCAUGUGUUAUUUUAAGCCAGUUUUGAGAUGAUUUGUUAUACAAUAGCAAUAGAUAACAAAUAUGAUGGCAGAGCUCUGUUCCAACAGCAGUAGCAAGCGUGUGCUUGCCGACUCUGGAUCACUCCACAUUCACCUCUUUGCUUCUACAGCUAUGGGACAAUAGCAGCAGCGUCCUACAGUUGCCAAUUUCUAGGUAAUGCCAUUUUCCACUUGACCUGUGUUUUCAAAACCUUUGUCACCAUUUUCCUAUAUUAAAUUCCUUCAUAAUAACAGAAGAGUGGCUAACAUAUGCACACAACUAUUUUUCUUGAUAGGGAGAUAAAGAGAGCAUUGCUGUAUAUUAAAUGUAGUUAUGUCUUUUUAGAUGUUUAAGAAAAUGAAAUGCACCUUUUUUCAAGUGAAUAAAUGUUUGCCUCUCUGUA